GAUGAACGCUGGCGGCGUGCCUAAUACAUGCAAGUCGAUCGAACAGACGAGGAGCUUGCUCCUCUGACGUUAGCGGCGGACGGGUGAGUAACACGUGGAUAACCUACCUAUAAGACUGGGAUAACUUCGGGAAACCGGAGCUAAUACCGGAUAAUAUAUUGAACCGCAUGGUUCAAUAGUGAAAGACGGUUUUGCUGUCACUUAUAGAUGGAUCCGCGCCGCAUUAGCUAGUUGGUAAGGUAACGGCUUACCAAGGCAACGAUGCGUAGCCGACCUGAGAGGGUGAUCGGCCACACUGGAACUGAGACACGGUCAAGACUCCUACGGGAGGCAGCAGUAGGGAAUCUUCCGCAAUGGGCGAAAGCCUGACGGAGCAACGCCGCGUGAGUGAUGAAGGUCUUCGGAUCGUAAAACUCUGUUAUUAGGGAAGAACAAAUGUGUAAGUAACUAUGCACGUCUUGACGGUACCUAAUCAGAAAGCCACGGCUAACUACGUG
rnacentral:rRNA from 1 species